rnacentral:rRNA from 1 species
UAGGGAAUCUUCCNCAAUGGACGCAAGUCUGAUGGAGCAACGCCGCGUGAGUGAAGAAGGUUUUCGGACCGUAAAGCUCUGUUGUUGGUGAAGAAGGAUAGAGGUAGUAACUGGCCUUUAUUUGACGGUAAUCAACCAGAAAGUCACGGCUAACUACGUGCCAGCAGCCGCGGUAAUACGUAGGUGGCAAGCGUUGUCCGGAUUUAUUGGGCGUAAAGCGAGCGCAGGCGGAAGAAUAAGUCUGAUGUGAAAGCCCUCGGCUUAACCGAGGAAUUGCAUCGGAAACUGUUUUCUUGAGUGCAGAAGAGGAGAGUAGAACUCCAUGUGUAGCGGUGGAAUGCGUAGAUAUAUGGAAGAAUACCAGUGGCGAAGGCGGCUCUCUGGUCUGCAACUGACGCUGAGGCUCGAAAGCAUGGGUAGCGAACAGGAUUAGAUACCCUGGUAGUCCAUGCCGUAAACGAUGAGUGCUAAGUGUUGGGAGGCUUCCGCCUCUCAGUGCUGCAGCUAACGCAUUAAGCACUCCGCCUGGGG